GUCCUACUUCUGUAGCACAUGUGCUAAAAUUGGAAUGAUGCAAAGAAGAUACCCUAACCCUGCCUGAGGAUAGCAUGUAAAUUCAUGAAAUGUUCCAUAGUUUU
ensembl:snRNA U6 U6 spliceosomal RNA